rnacentral:rRNA from 1 species
AAGUGAAGAGUUUGAUCCUGGCUCAGAUUGAACGCUGGCGGCAUGGCUAAAGCAUGCAAGUCGAACGAGAACCAGCCCUUCGGGGCUGGGGACAGUGGCGGAAGGGCGAGUAAUGCGUUCCUAACGUGCCCUCUGGUAGGGGAUAGGUCAGGGAAACCUGGCGUAAUACCCUAUAAGAUCUCCGGAUGAAAGGUUUCGGCCGCCGGAGGAGCGGGGAACGUCCUAUCAGGUAGUUGGUGAGGUAACGGCCCACCAAGCCUAAGACGGGUAGCGGGUGUGAGAGCAUGACCCGCCGCAUCGGGACUGAGACACUGCCCGGACUCCUACGGGAGGCUGCAGCGACGAAUAUUCCGCAAUGCGCGAAAGCGUGACGGAGCAAUGCCGCGUGCAGGAUGAAGCGGCUUCGCCGUGUAAACUGCUGUCAGGGUUUAGGAAAAAAAUGACCAGACCCAAAGGAAGGGCCGGCUAACUUCGUGCCAGCAGCCGCGGUAAGACGAAGGGCCCGAGCGUUAAUCAGAGUUACUGGGCUUAAAGGGUGCGUAGGCGGACCUGUAAGUGCUUUGUGAAAUCCCACGACUCAACCGUGGAAUUGCUGGGCAAACUGCAGGUCUUGAGACUGGUAGGGGCUGUCGGAACGAUAGGUGGAGCGGUGAAAUGCGUAGAUAUCUAUCGGAACGCCGAGAGUGA